GGUUUUUUCUCUCCCUAUGCUGAAAACAGAAAAAAAGAAAAAUCAUCGCCCAUCUCCCCUGCGAUUCCGCCUUCACGCUCAGCUUUGAUGUUUGGGGGAUGGAAAUUGUGUUUUUACUGAAGCCAAAAAUUCAAAAUAUGAGAAAGAAUUCACCUCCUUUGGCCAAAUAGAAUGGAAGAGAGUUAUUGCCCAACAAGCUACUUUUUUUUUUUUUUUUUUGGCAAAUGACAAGGCUUGCUCCACUGAAGAAGGGCAAAGCAAAGCACAUGUCAAGGACGAAUGACUCUUCGAAGAUACAAGAUUUUCAGGGAGUCCCUCCUAACUUGAGCUUUAUUUUCUCUAGUUGCGUUGAGGACAAUGCAACAUUUUUAGUUGGCGGUGGCAUUUGGGAGUACACUUUAUUUUCAUAUUUAUGCUUCACUUGUGCCCUUGUCGGGCUUAUGGUUAACGUAUGGAUAUUGUGUGCCCUUGCCGGGCUUGUCUUUUUGAUUUUUGAUGUUUGGGAGUACACUUUAUUUUCAUAUUUAUGCUUCUCUCAUGCCCUUGUCGGGCUUAUGGUUAACCUAUGGAUAUUGUGUGCCCUUGCUGGGCUUGUUUUUUGAUUUUGAUGUAGUUGUGGAUUAGUCACUUUUGUUUCUUUAUUUUCAUUACUAGUUUCUUUAGUUUUGUGUCGACUUUCCCCAAUAAUAGGCGACUUUCUGAAGGAAAUUAGUCUUGUUAGGUGCAAUUGUAGCUAGUUUAGUCGUCGGAAUGGUGUUGGGAUGUGAUUUUUUGCCCUUGGACAACUUUUGGCUUGCUUGGUACCAACACAUUUAAACCUUGACAUAUGAAUUCUUGAUUUUUAAAUAAGCAAAUCGAUUGAAGUAAGGAUUCUUGUUGUGACUUUUAGACUCAAUUUUUGACUCUUACUUUCACUAAUUAGUCUCUUUAGAUUAUAAGUGACUUUCUUUGAGUUUAUUUGUUUCAAUUGGGUUUUGGAUACAUAUUGUACUUGGAUUAUCAUGUGCCGUGUGUGGUGAGGUUUUUUGUGAGUUCUUUUGCAUUCUUUGUGGUCUAGAACUUGCCCAGAAUGUGUUUCAAGGCAAAAUUCUAAGUUACACUUGGUUUGAAAAGUGAUGUUAGGCCUUCUUUGGAUCGUUUUUGCCUUAAAUUUCCUACCCUUGCAUAUUUUUCCUAGUCAACCCCUUUUGAGCCUUUAACCUUUUUUUUGGCAACCAUGUUACAAGCUUUAACCUUUUGUUCUUUAUUGAUCUAUCUUUUGGCAUCCCACCUCCCUAAGGGCUUUGAAAGUGUAAACAUAGGCUAAAAGCCUAAGUUUGGGGGUGACGGUUGAAAAAGUUGUGAUGUGGAAGUUUCUUAAAAGGUGAAAGG